AAAAAUGUGGUGUUAAUAUUUCAGUGUUAACCUAAUUUAAUCUAAAUAGAGUAUUUUUAACUAUAUGGAGUGUAAAUCGCCUCUGACAUCGGAGUUAAAAGUCAGAGUAAAAUGCUACAUUCACGCAGUGAAACUUUUGACUCUGCCAAGUGUCAAUAACGCGCCACGGUAAAGAUUUUUGGCAACCGCGAAGAGGAGGAAGAGGAAGAAAGAAGACGAAGCACCAGUUUUUUGAAGUUCGUGAGGCGGCUAUUUCCAUUUUGGAUUCUGAACGAACGGAGUUUUGCUACAGAAAAGGGUAGCGGGAGAAAGCCGAGGGAUAGCCCUAUGCUAGACAAGUUGUCCACCUCGAAAUAUUAGCUGUUUUCUUCCGAAGGCUUUCAAGAAAAGUGUCAGAGUGAUGUAUGCUCAGGG